rnacentral:rRNA from 1 species
AAGCGUUGUUCGGAAUUACUGGGCGUAAAGGGCGCGUAGGCGGCACGGCAAGUCAGGAGUGAAAGGCCUGGGCUCAACCGAGGAACUGCUUUUGAGACUGCCGAGCUAGAGUGCAGAAGGGGCAACUGGAAUUCCCAGUGUAGCGGUGAAAUGCGUAGAUAUUGGGAAGAACACCCGUGGCGAAGGCGGCCAACUGGGCCGGACCUGACGCUGAGGCGCGAAGGCGUGGGGAGCGAACGGG